UUAGUUGGAAGACAAUCCAAAUGCAAAACACAAUGCUUCUAAAAACUGUCCCAUAGAUUGCCAAGCAUCUUAUAAAGCCUGGCCAUGGGCUUAACUAUAUCAAAAUCAUACGGAUGCUUUUUGUCAAAAUCAUUCUAAACCAAGAAGGCAGCAAGCAGCUUACAACCCAGAAGUGUCACAGAUGUACUUGCAAAUGUUUGUCCGUAAUUCUGUUGAUUCCAGACUGCAAGUCCAGGAGGGACUGUCAGAUCCUGUGUGCUGAUCGCUGCAUGCUGCCAUCCACUGCACUGCACGCAGAGCCACAACUGGGUCCUGCAGCUCGAGCUGGGUUUUGGCAUUCAGUGCUGAGGAGGCUGAGCAGCCUCAAGCAGAGGCUCACCCAGCCCAGGGCUGUGGCCGGCAGAGAAAUGCUGAGGGGAUAGAUGCCUAGAAGCAAAAUCGUGAUCCCUGGGGCAGAGGAAGACAAGACCUCUAUAGUCAUUGGCAUUUUCACUUGGACAGAAACUUCUUCCUCACCUCAAACCUGGUGAAACACACACACCGCGGACAAAGGUGAGCAGAGCAUAGCUAGAAAUGUCGAUGGAUGCUUCAGGGUACCGCUCCGCAGCGCAUGCCCCGCGCCUCGCCCCGUGCGUGUGAAAGGAACAGCCCCGGGACCAGAAUUACCACCGGAGGCCCUGUGCCUGUCCCCUGCCCUGCUCCCAAGGUCCGCAGCACUGAGCCUCCCCGGGUCCUUCCCUCCACCAGUGGGGCACAACCCGGCUGCCGUCAGCCCCACGCACAGCACCGGCACAGCCCGCGCAUCCCCGCGACAGCAGAGGAGAAACAUGAGGCCACGUGGCACACGAGGGUCUUCACUAGAUAGUCACCAGAAAACAACCAACAACUCAACAGCAACUCAGUUUUCUCCCUUUUUUUGUGUUUUCUUGAAAAUUAAUUAUCUCUUCUAUUGUCAUUUUUUAGAAUGUUUUUCUCCUAGAUCUCCACCAUGUCACUUAGCUACACACAGACGCACGUGCACGAACCCAUAAGCAGUUUUCUGCAGCUCCGUGGCAGGCAAAGAGCCGCUGGAUACGCACAGAAACAGCAGCUCCUGAGCCCGGGGAGCCCGGCGAGGUGGCCGAGCUCGCUGCAGACCUCAGCCCCGCCAAGCCUGACUUGCUCUGAGGAGACUGUCACGCCUCCAGAGUCCUCGUUACACUGGAGGAAGCAAGAGAAAUCCUGCGCUGCUGUCACGGCUGGUGGCAACAGCCCGGCGGGGGCUGCGGGGCCGAGCCGCGGUUCUCAGCUGGCGCGGGGACGCGAGCGGCGCUGGAUGGUGGCUCUGACCCCUCUGAGCCACCGCAGGACGCAGCCCUGGCAGCGUGGCCAGAGCACAUGUCAUCCCUGCUGCAAUCCUGCUUCUUGGCCUGUUUUCUGAUAAAUAACCUUUUCCUGUC